UCUUUAUAAAUAAAAAUGAAAGUAAUAAAUGUUAAUAAUUUAAUUUUUUUAUUUAUUAAAUUGGGGUGAUUAAAAAAUUAAAAUAAUUUUUUUAAGUUAAAAACAAUAAUUUUUGAAUAUAUUAUCUAUUAAUAAUAAAUUAAGAAAAAGU
rnacentral:rRNA from 1 species